AUAUUUUAAAGUAAAAUUAACUUCCUUAAUAUUUUCAAUAUUAUACUCUUAAUAAGCUAUUAAAAUA
rnacentral:tRNA from 1 species